GCGGGUGUAGUGAAAUGGCAUCACACAACCUUCCCAAGGUUGGAGCGCGGGUUCGAUUCCCGUCACCCGCU
rnacentral:tRNA from 1 species